AAGCACCCCUAUUUUCUGGUCGCUUUGCAGUCUUAAAAACUUAGUAUUUCUAAUGCAAUUUCAAUGGAAAGAAGGUGGCAGUUGGAAACAGGCAGUUGACAGUUGGGAGUUACUGGUAGUUGCUUGGUUAUUCAGUUAGUUCCACCUUGACUAUGAAGGUGAGAGGGUGUGGGGACUUCAUGCAAAUGCUGUCUGGAGCAGUUUGUAAAUAAUACUACUUGUUCAAAUGUUGCCAGCCCAACAAGUCAAGAUAACAAGAGAAAAUCCCCUUAUUGUGCCAAGUAGCGCGCAGCUUUGAAGAGUAGCAGAGAAGCCAUAUAAGGUGCACAGUAUACAGCCUCUCUGCAAUCCCAUACUAACAUGAAAGGUCACCUGAGGACAGGAUGCUCAGGAACCCAGGAAGGCGGUAGAAGUAGGCCACUGGAGAUAUGACUGGUAGAAUGAAAGACUCAGAGGUCUUGGCCAUCUUGAAAGCAAGAGAAGAAUAGCCACAUGGAUUAAUGCUCUGACACUUCACUUUUGAAGAAACCAAAGAGGACCAAUAGAAGCAGAAUGUGCAACACCCAACCAGAAGAGAAAAGAUCACUAAUGGUCCAAAGAUCGACCAGGAUCAACCAGGAACACCCCACGAUCGACCAGUAGAUCAUGAUCGACCUGUUGGACAUGCCUGGGCUUCAGGAUUCAACCCAAUCCUUUUGUCAGCCUUAUCGGACAAAAGUUGUGAUGAUUGCUACGAGGACGGCACCUCUUCCAAUGGGCCCAAUUUGUUUGCAGGCAAAUUCCUCCCCAGGCCGAACUACAGCAACAAAUUACAUCCACAACAUGGUCUCAUUAACGCAGCAUCAACAGACCCAUUUACUGGGUGGGUUGAUCUGCUACUGAUUGCGCUGCUUGUUCCUAGUGCAGUCGCCCUUUUGAAUCAUAGCGGCAAUCCAGAGUCAAGCCUUGCUCCCUCCAGUCUGCCACUGAGGGUCCACCCACUUUGAAGGCCAUGACUGGCCAAUUUAUACUGUGGAUUUUGAUGGGCAAUCCUGAUGUACCCACCGAAGCCAAUGGCCAGAUGCAAAGAAUUGCCCUCUCCACCUCCCAACCCAUCCCAAGGAGGCACAUUGGGCUGCGCCGCAACCAUUCCCCACCCUAAACAGCUGCCAUCCUUUUACACUCAUCCAGGCCUGCUAUCAUACAAGAGUAGCUGUUACCUCCAGAUUAUGUCCAUGGCUUGCUCCUUCUUUGGCUUUUCUCUGCUCAAGUUCCUCCUAUAUUUCUAGCACAUGUUUAUUUACGCUUAUGUAAAUACAGUCCAGAGAGACAGAGGCACUACUUUGAGAAAACUGCUCCUUGGCAUGUCAUAUUGACUGAUGUGUCUGUUUUGAUUAAGUGUAAGCACCUGUCUGCAUAGCACGGAGUAAUUUUACUUUUCUAGAGCUACAUGAGCAGGUUCAAGUAGGGAUGAAUGAACCUGCCACUUUCAAUUUCUCUCCCUUUGUUAUUUUUCCAGUCUUAAGUUCCAUUUUCCAAAUUUCUGCAUCAGUUUGUGGGUUAUUUGUUUUUUUAAAAAGUCCUCAUGGAAAUGUUAUGGUCAAUUUUCCUUAAUAGAAUGCAUUUUAUAUGUUAUUUUCAUCAAUAUAUGCAUUUUAUGUGUAUUCCCCCUAUAUUAUUCUUGUACACGUUAUUUGGUCGGAAAAGUGUUAAUUUCAAAGGAUACUGGUGUUUUGGUUGUCACAUUUUGGGGAAGCAGAAAAGUGUGUAGGCUUGCAUUAAAAUCCCGACCAAACCAGAUUUCUACCCAAUCCCAUGCAAGCAAACCAAUUUUGGGUCACUUUGGGAACCCUUAUUGCUGCUCUGUCAUAACUGGAGAGAUGUUAUAAUCUGGAAAAUGCUAGCUAAUUUGUUUGGGGUGAUUGUAGACCUUUGAUCUCAUCUUUGUGAGAAGAUCUGAGCAGUAGAAAACCUGUCACAGACCCAUUCGCAGAAUUCAAUGAGUGCUACCACUGCUAUCAUAAUUUGUGUAUCCCACAAUGGAUAAAGGAAAACAGAUUCUCUUGAAGACUGCUCAGUCAGCUAGCAAAGUAAUUAACUGACUUUCAUUUGAUUUAAUUUUAGGCUGAUUAAUAAUCUUUUUGAUUAUUUGAUUAACCAGUGGAGAUGAACUUCACAGUAUCACAAUAAAAAUUACAUCUUGAUACUAAAUGUAGGCAUUGUUUUCCAAAUAGACUAACUAAUAUUCUGAAAAUCAUCUUAAACACUUUGCCUGAAUCUUGCAAUACAUGUUUGUUGGGGAUGUUUGAGGGAUCCAGUUAUUCAAGAUUCUGUAUGAAAUGACCUGAUUUGUGCUUCUCUCAUUAAUGUGUAUUGGCAAAAUUUGAAGUUUGGAGUGCUGUUGAGUUUGUUUAUAAGCCUUUAUUACCUAUUGUGCUGUGUCUUAGGGGUGGUUUUUGUUUUUGUUUUUUUGUUUGCUGUGUUAUAAUGUUUCCUGUCUUAAAGCUCUGAUGUAACAUUAUUUUUUUAAUA